UUCCGCAUUUAAACUCUCUUCAUUCACUUGCUCAUCAACUAUAUGAACAUCAUCAUCUUGUACUUCAACCUCAUCACUCACAAUUUCCUUGCUGCUGGGAGGUAUUCACAUCACCACCUUGACCACUUCUGACUUCUAGUAAUCACUGCCAUUGCAUGUCUGGUGUUGUUCCCACCCUUCAGGUUUACUAACAUAUUACUAGGUAGAUCCCCCUUAGGGAGAGUGUUCAAAAUUUGUUAAAUCUGGCCAAGUUAAACUUUCAAAUUAUAGAUUGAAGUAUUAUGGGAUGCUACUUGGGCUUCAGAGUCGGCAUUCUUUUUCAUCAUUUGUUCAAAGAUCAUCUCGAUCCUUCCUAUCUCAUUGUUUGAUGAGCUAGGAUCUUGGGAUGGAAAUGUAGGAGGGUUGUUUGGUUGUUGAUAGAUCGUAGUCCUUUGAAGCAUUGUCCCCAAUUCCCUUGAUUGCCAUUAUUCCAACCCCCUUAGUUGUUGGUUCCUCCCCAAUUGUUGUUGUUUCCACUCCAGUUGCCCUAGUUGUUCUGAUUGCCCCAAUUCUGAUUGUUUUCCCCCCAGCUUCUAUUUCCUUAUUGGUUUUGAUUCCCCCAAUUCCCUUGAUAUCUCCAGUGUUGUUGGCUAGGAGUAUUGCCCCUUUGUGCUUGAUAAUUGUUCAUGUAUUGCACUUCUUCACUUUGCUCAUCAUACCUAUCAUCUUGGUUGAAACCACCACUACCUUCCUCAUAUUGAUCCGGACUACCUUAACCAUGUUGACCUCUUUGUCGCCUCUUUUUGACCAACAUGUUUGACACCUUCCAUAGCAUUUACUUGUCUUGGCACUUUAACUUUUUGCAAUUGAGCUUUAGCCAACUGGUUCAUUAUUAUAGUUAAUCCGCUAUUCCCUGGACCUGGUCAUAGAGCUCUUUGUGCAAGUGAAUGACAAUUGGAUCACCCUGUAGCACAUUAGCUCGACUUUUCCAAGCUGAGGAAAUAUCUGCC
rnacentral:lncRNA from 1 species